UAUCCACCCCUUACCAAAAUUGAAAUUUUAUUUUUUUUCCGCUCCCGAAGAAGUGAUUUCAUAUAAAUGAUCAUUGACAAGCUAAUUUUCUUGCUCACACCGUCGCUCAAACCCUAAAUCUGCCUUCUGCUGCAAAUCUUGGUCAUUCUAAUGGGCAUGUCAGGCAAGAAAUCGGCCACCGAAGUUGACGCACCGCCAAAUAACAUCGACUUUAUGAAGAGAAUCACAAAGUGGAAAUACCACCAAAAAAAAAAAAAAAUAAUAAUAAUAAAAGACAAGCUCAAUUCAACACUUUCAAUUUCUCAAUUGCGUCUUCCUCCGUUGAUCCAGUUGCGAACCCGCUAAAGUUGCCAGAUUUUUUAUGUUUUGCCAAUCAUAUUUACUGCUUGAUUUUUUACUUCCA